GUCUGGGGCAUUCUGGUGUUUUAACACGCUGCCAAAAUCUUCCAAGAAGAAGACCUUCCAGCAAAUUCACCUCAAGACGGUGCUCGCAAGAUGUACUAAUCUCAAAGACUGUGUGGAAGGGAAAGCAGUACCCAGAGAAAACCCACCAAGCACCGGGAGGACAAAGACCCCCA